ACCGGGUGUGGUAGUGCAUGCCUGUAAUCCCAGCAGCUCGGAGGCUGAGGCAGGAGGAUCUCAAGUUCAAAGCCAGCCUCAGCCACAGUGAGGCGCUAAGCAACUCGGUGAGACCCUGUCUCUA
rnacentral:sRNA from 1 species